UGCCCAGUGCCCGCCGUCCUCACCUGGCCAGCGGGACGCGCCCGGGAACCCCGCACGCGGGCGGGCCGCCUCUUUGUUAGCAAGUUUGCCUUUCUGUGAUUCAGAGCACGCGGAGCGAAUUAAGUGGAGUGAGGGGUACUGUGCGACUGUCUGCGGGAAACCUGCGGGGAGCGCGGGAAGGGAUGGACUUGAUGAGCCGCGGCGCAGCGGCUUUCAAACCUCCCCGCGCUCCGCAGCCCCCAGCCCCCGCCCUACCCGCCCUCUCAGAUCCCUCUGUCUCCUGCCUAGGUCGGCCCCUGGGAGAGGUUGGCUCCUGGGGGUUCCCAGGGACUUUAGGGACAAGGUUUGAUGACAUAGAGCUUCCCCACGCCCCCUUCCUCCCCUCCCCUCAUCCUCCGCCCCGCGACUCCCAUCACUGCCCUGUCCCUCUCAGGGUCCUGGGGACCAUCGGCCCUGCAUUCCCUGGGCUCAGGGAGAAUCAAGAUUCUUCCUAAUCUGGAGCAAAAAGAGUAGACGGUAGGGCCCAGCUGUCCCUGCCUGCACCCAGUGGAGGUGCAAAGCUGUCCCUAAGUGGGUCUGUCCUAGCAGUGGGGCGUGCAUUGUGGGUUAUUUCCCAGAGCAACGGUGGCCUUGUGCUUAUCCAACCAUGUUCUUUUGAAACUUGACUGCAGCGAGCCGGGUUAUCCAUAUACCAGGUUGCUAGGUCAGGGAGGCCGCUACUGGGGGGCAGGGAACGCGAAGCACGCCACUGUGCCCCAGAGCACCAGUGCUCUCAAUGCCGCAGCUGACCGCUGGGAAAGGCUUCGCACAGGGCCAUGCGGGAAGGAGAUGACAGCCACAGUCCCCUGAGAUGAAGACCUGAAUGCAGAAGCUGCCGCGAAGGAGUCCCCAGAGCUUGCUGUGCGCGGUGCAGGAGGAGGAGUGUGCUGGGGGUGAGGGGGUAAAAACCUGAAGUCUGGAGGAGACCUGGAGUGAUGUGAGGUUGAGUUUCGUGUGGGGCAAGCCGGGUUUGAGAAGCAGGCCACCUUCUUCCAGGGGCACACAUCCAGCAAAUGCAGUGGGAAUGACCUGUGGUUCUUAGGAGAGAGGCUGAGGCAAGAGAUGCGAUUUUUGGAAUCAUCUGGAAAGAAGUUGGGCUGACAAGAGAAGAAAUGGAGCGAGAGGGUAGAAAAGAUAGAGAGAACAGGGCUGAAGACAGAAGCUGUCUAAGGAGGGGAAGGAGCCCAUGAGAGAAACAAUGUGGGAGGGUCGGGACUGUGCAGAGUGAAAGAACUCAGGAGAAGAGGGAUGUUCAGUGGGGGCCUGGGCUACAGAGACACCAGGAAGGAGGUGCCCAAGAAAACAGGUUUAGAUUUGGAAAUCAGGAGAUCUCUGGGGGCUUUCAAGAGAAUUAUUUGAGUGGUGGGUUGUGUAGACAAGAUUGCCACUCCUUGGGGGGCAUCAGGAUCCUGGAUCCAGUUGGUUGAUCCAGGGACACAAAGGUUCAUUUCUUUGAUUUCCUUCACGGGGACUCCGAAGGGCCUCCCCAGAGCCACAGCUUCCAGAGGGAUCUGACGAGGCCUCUGUGGAAAGCAACGCAGUUCAAGUUCAGUCUCUGCCUAAUCCUGUUUUCCUCACUCUCUCAAGGUGAGUGAGGUCUAUGGGGGUAAGCCCCCCCGCCUCCCCGUAGACCUCCUGGAAUGCCUGGAACAGCUCAGCAACCUGGGCACAGGUGGCUUGAGACAACCUAGCCAUUCGGGCCUGCUGCCAGAGUGAACGCCACAGGGAGGCCUGCCGGGUCUGGGGAGCAUGAGCUGGUCAGGCCCCCAGUAGACCCCUUGCAGGCUGAUCUCCAUCUCCAUGCAGAGUCUGUAUCCUAGAAAUCCAACCUGAGAUCCUGCGGCACCGAGAAAGGGAAGCUGUUUCAAGAGAUAGGAAUUGUCAGAAAAAGCCGGAGAAGGUGGUGUUAAAGGAAAACAUUGAGAAUGGGGAGUGAAGACGAGGGUUUUUCGUAGCAGAAGAUGGAUCUUCGAAAGCCAGGAGGCAGAGGAGAGCAACGCUGUCGGUGAGAUAAAGCUGGAGAUUUCUGCUACGUGCAGCACAUACUGCUAAUCCUCUCUCAUCUCCAGGAAGUUUUCAAAAACCUGCUUCUGUAACUAGUGGACAGGUCUUCUGGAUCCAAGGUCACCUGCUGGGGAGAAAGAGAAGCCUUUGGAUAAACAUCACAAGUUUUCCUGGAACAUGGAUUUUAUUUAAGAUUUUUUGGAAAGAAGGGAAUAAGGUUUUUACCUUUGUAAUGUUUUUACAAAUAUUUUCAAAAGUGUAACAUGUAUAUGUGCUCAUUUUAGAAAAUUUGAUCAGUAUAAAAUAUUAAAGAAGAAAGUAAAAGCUCAUUUGGAAUCUUAUCUGUUGGAAGGAAUCACUGUCUUGCUAUAUGUUGGUGAAUAUCCUUUUGAUGAUGUGUAUGUGUGUCAGUGUGUGUUUGUAACUUGAAUUUUUAAAGUUUGAGAAUAUAUUCUAGUCGUCUU
rnacentral:lncRNA from 1 species